rnacentral:rRNA from 1 species
CACGGGGGGAGCAAGCGUUGUUCGGAAUCACUGGGCGUAAAGGGCGUGUAGGCGGUCAGGUAAGUGAGACGUGAAAUGCCGGGGCUCAACCCCGGGACUGCGUCCGAUACUUCCGAGCUGGAGGUAGGUAGGGGAGAUCGGAAUUCCUGGUGUAGCGGUGAAAUGCGCAGAUAUCAGGAGGAACACCGGUGGCGAAGGCGGAUCUCUGGGCCUUACCUGACGCUGAGGCGCGAAAGCUAGGGGAGCGAACAGG